UCAUGCCUGAGUUACAUAAAAUUGUUUUAAUGAAAAAAAUUUUUCAGUGACAAUUUCACGGAGAAUGUCUUUUAAUAUUAUGUUCAGGAAUUUUAAACAUAAUUGAUAAACGUCUUUUUAUUUUAGUGCGAGUUACUUUUGAACAUCAAUCGAUCUUGCUUUCAUAUAUAGUGAGCGACCAUGUACUAUGCUCACAUAGGAUUUUAAAGAAAAGUCCACAGCAGCAUAAAAUAGAAUGAAAUGACAGAUAAACUAAAUGCUGUGGGGAAGGCCAAAAAGACAGCUCCACAUUGGCGAAAUAAACUUCACAUCUGUUGAGAAUAUGAGAAAUUAUAUAUGGGCAACCCUCUAUCACAAAAUAUCUACGGACGAACAACCGCAGCACGAAAAGUGUCCAGUCGGAGUCGAUUCUUGGUGCUCUUGGCAAAAGAGCAAAGCGUUAGGCACUCUUUUCUCUUAUCAGCAUAAGCCUGCUAUGCAUAAAGAUGUUUCUGAAGCUAUCAAGCCCAUAUACAAAGACUUGAGCUCCGACGAUCUUCUCUCUCUGGUUGCUUAGGCGGAUACACUCAAAAUCAAAAUGAGUCUUUUAACUCAGUCGUAUGGGCCAUCGCUCCAAAAUCGAUGUCAAGCGGAAAGAAAAUUCUCGAUAUAGCGACUGAUACAUCCACCAUCACUUUCAACGUGGAAUUAUCCGGCUUAUUUUCCAUCUACGAUGCACUAGGUAUAACAGUUUGGCGUUUUUUACUCGACUUCUGUAUGGAAUCGGACGCAAAUCGCAUUAAGGCCGCUGAACACUCGAUUUUAGAAGUCGAGAAAAUGGCGAGACGCAGUAUUACUUCGUCGAGAAAGGAACAAGAGGACCAAAAUUCUAAUUUGGAAGGGCAAUUGUAUGGUGCUGGGAUAGCAAAGUGAAGAUGAUGGUGCAGGAGACCUCUACUGCGUGCAGCAGAGCCACAUUUUCAAACAUCACUUUAUAUUUAUCGACCGAAAGCCGCCAUUUUGUUUAAUUUUGCCAACAAACAAUUUUUUUCUUAUACCUGACGAGUUGCUUAAUUGAUCUUUAUAGUAUUUGUUAAUGUUUAUUCAAAAACCUGCUCAGAAAAAAAAUUUGAAAAAGCCUAUUUUUUAGGCCUCCAACCAGAUGUAACCCCUUAAAAAGAACAAGAGUAUGUCCAAUUUGCCGCGAAAGAGUUUUUCAACAACAACUGCUAAAACUUCAUGUAGAUUUUGAUGAUUUACAAAGAGUUAUUGAAAAAAGUGAAGAAUACGAUGAACAGUGUUUCGAGCUAGAAGAAGAAAUGAAUAAUCAGAGAUUUCUUUUUCAAGACUUUGUUAAUUUCUUUUUUAUUUAUAGCUUUAAGUUUAUCCUUUUCUUGUAAAGUAAAAUAAUGUAAUGUCUGGAUCUUAAAAGGUCAAAAUCGAUAACACACCGUCAAUAAGUUGUCCUCUUUAGAUAAAAUUUUGAUAUACAACUACAGUUGGCAUGUCUGUCCCAGGUCUGUCCAUAUAUGGCUGCCAAUAUAUUGGCAGUUUAAGUUGGAUAGAAGUAAAAUAGAAAAACAUUUGAAACAACUUUAAAAUUCUCGUAAAUUAAAUCAAAUGUUGAAGACAAUGAAUUUAACAUGCAACAGAAAAUUAAAAAGAUUAUUAAAGAAACAGGUAAUAGUUAUAAUAAUUUAAAUUUAAAUUUAAAGUACGAAACUUUACCAGAGAACCUGAAAAUAAUUCAGAAUUUUCUUUUCUGUAAUUUUUAAAAAUAAGUUUAAUAGUAAUUUCUGAAAUGUUCUCAACAUCUUACAAAAUUCAUAAUGAUUAUUUUCAUUUGCUUUCCUAACUUUUGCUUUUAUUCGCCAUAGAAGAUUUCAGUAGUUAAACCUGAAAAAUUUCGGAAUUCGGAAUUGAAUUUGGUGCGCAGUUGACCGUUGCACCUAAUACAAAUUGAAAACAAAUGAGCACCUACUACAGAUUGAAAACAAAUGAUUCUCUCCUACAGAUUAAAAUCAGAUGAACAUCUACUACAGAUUGAAAACAAAUGAACAUCUACUACAAAUUGAAAACAAAUGAUUAGCUACUACAUAUUGAAAACAAAUGAGCACCUACUACAGAUUAAAAACAAAUGAUUCUCUACUACAGAUUAAAAGCAGAUGAACAUCUA